rnacentral:rRNA from 1 species
CUUGCUCUCUGGGUGACGAGCGGCGGACGGGUGAGUAAUGUCUGGGAAACUGCCUGAUGGAGGGGGAUAACUACUGGAAACGGUAGCUAAUACCGCAUAACGUCUUCGGACCAAAGUGGGGGACCUUCGGGCCUCACGCCAUCAGAUGUGCCCAGAUGGGAUUAGCUAGUAGGUGGGGUAAUGGCUCACCUAGGCGACGAUCCCUAGCUGGUCUGAGAGGAUGACCAGCCACACUGGAACUGAGACACGGUCCAGACUCCUACGGGAGGCAGCAGUGGGGAAUAUUGCACAAUGGGCGCAAGCCUGAUGCAGCCAUGCCGCGUGUGUGAAGAAGGCCUUCGGGUUGUAAAGCACUUUCAGCGAGGAGGAAGGGUGGUGUGUUAAUAGCGCAUCACAUUGACGUUACUCGCAGAAGAAGCACCGGCUAACUCCGUGCCAGCAGCCGCGGUAAUACGGAGGGUGCAAGCGUUAAUCGGAAUUACUGGGCGUAAAGCGCACGCAGGCGGUUUGUUAAGUCAGAUGUGAAAAUCCCCGCGCUUAACGUGGGGAACUGCAUUUGAAACUGGGCAAGCUAGAGUCUUGUAGAGGGGGGUAGAA